UACGUAGGAGGCAAGCGUUGCCCGGAAUUACUGGGCGUAAAGCGCGUGUAGGUGGUGGGACAAGUCUGCUGUGAAAGCGCCUGGCUUAACCGGGCGAGGUCGGCGGAAACUGUCCGACUAGAGGACGGUAGAGGGGGGUGGAAUUCCCGGUGUAGUGGUGAAAUGCGUAGAGAUCGGGAGGAACACCUGUGGCGAAGGCGGCCCCCUGGGCCGGGCCUGACACUGAGACGCGAAGGCGUGGGGAGCGAACGGG
rnacentral:rRNA from 1 species